rnacentral:rRNA from 1 species
GACGAACCGUCCUAACGUUGUUCGGAAUCACUGGGCUUAAAGGGCGCGUAGGCGGGUUCCCAAGUCGGUGGUGAAAUCUUUCGGCCCAACCGGAAAACAGCCGCCGAUACUGGGAGUCUUGAGGGAGGUAGGGGUCGAUGGAACUUCCGGUGGAGCGGUGAAAUGCGUAGAUAUCGGGAGGAACACCAGUGGCGAAGGGCGGUGCUCUGGGCUGGAACUGACGCUGAUGGAACGAAAGCGUGGGUAGCAAACAGG